UGGAAUUCAGAAGAGAACUGAAAAGGAGCCCUUAAUAAUCCUGCCCUCCUUCCUUACUGGCAUUUUUCUAAAGAAGGAAGGGAGCCAUCCACAUGACAAUUACUAUUUCAUGGAGAGGAAAAAGGAAAAAAACCAAAUUGAUACAUUGAAAAAGUCUGAAAAAUACUAUAUUACUGUAACAGUUGUACAGUCUCCACCUCCAAAAAGAGUAUCUACAUUCUCCAAUACAUUCUUCUCUCCAUCACUCUAUUAUCUCCAGAAGAUCCAAUUCCAGUUUCAGCUCUUACCAGAGAAUACAAUCUACUUAAAUCCAAUAAACAUUUAUCAGCUGGCUACAUGUGCUAAACUCUAUGCUAAGCUUUGGGGGUAAAAGUAAUAGAAAGGGGGUAGGUAGGUGUUGUAGUGGAUAGAGCACCA